AAAGUACUCCCUCCGUCCCAAAAUUCUUGUCUUAGAUUUGUCUAUAUACAGAUGUAUCAAGUCACAUUUUAGUAUUAGAUACAUCCGUAUCUAGACAAAUCUAAGACAAGAAAUUUGGGACAGAGGGAGUAGUUG
rnacentral:pre_miRNA from 1 species